AUUGAACGCUGGCGGCAGGCCUAAUACAUGCAAGUCGAGCGGAGCUGCGGACGGGUGAGUAAUUCCUAGGUAUCUGCCUUGUCGUUGGGGAUAACGUCCGGUAACGGGCGCUAAUAUCGCAUCCUAUCAUAUGACCCUAGGUCGUAUUAGCUAGUUGGUGGGGUAAAGGCCUACCAUGGCGACGAUCCGUAACUGGUCUGAGAGGAUGACCAGUCACACUGGAACUGAGAAACGGUCCAGACUCCUACGGGAGGCAGCAGUAGGGAAUAUUGGGCAAUGGGCGAAAGCCUGAGCGAGCCAUGCCGCGUGUGUGAAGAAGGUCUUCGGAUUGUAAAGCACUGUAAGUUGGGAAGCGUUACCAACAGAAUAAGCACCGGAUAACUUCGUGCCAGCAGCCGCGGUAAGAC
rnacentral:rRNA from 1 species